rnacentral:rRNA from 1 species
UACAGAGGGGGCAAGCGUUGUUCGGAAUUACUGGGCGUAAAGGGCGCGUAGGCGGCCCGCUAAGUCGAACGUGAAAUCCCCGAGCUCAACUCGGGAACUGCGUCCGAUACUGAUGGGCUUGAAUCCGGGAGAGGGAUGCGGAAUUCCAGGUGUAGCGGUGAAAUGCGUAGAUAUCUGGAGGAACACCGGUGGCGAAGGCGGCAUCCUGGACCGAUAUUGACGCUGAUGCGCGAAAGCCAGGGGAGCAAACGGG